AGUCAAUGAUCGAAAGAUUGAUCUAGUUACUUAGAAAGAUGAAAGAUUAAGAAUAUAGAUAUAAAAAAUUAGAGAUAAAAAUUUAUGGAAAUAAAAGAAGAGAUGAAUCAAUGAAGAAUAUAAAGUCUUAACUAUAUGAUAGAAUAAUGAUCAAUAUAAGUGAGAGUCUUGACCAAAAAUAGUGCCAGCAGUAGCGGUUAAACUAUGGAGGCAAACGUUAAUAAUUAUGGCUUAAAGAAUCCGCAGAAUGUUUUAUAGAUUAUAAAAUAGUGUUUAAAAGAAAGAUUAAAGAAUUAUUUAAGGAGCGAUGAAAUGUGAAGAAAAAAAUAAGACAAAUAAAAGUUGAAGAUAUUAAUCAAGAUUUAAACAGACAUUGAGAGGAUGAGAGCUUGAGUAGUAAACGGGAUUAGAUACCCCAUUAAUUCAAGCCGUCAACUAUGAGUACUAAGAAGGAAUUAAAAGCGAAGGCUAAGUAUUCCGCCAGGUGAGUAUAUUCGCAAGAAUGAAAACCAAGACAAUAGACGGUUACAGGUUUAGGCAGUGGAUUGUGUUAU
rnacentral:rRNA from 1 species